AAUAGAUACCCGGGUAGUCCACGCCCUAAACGAUGUCAACUAGCUGUUGGGGCCUUCGGGCCUUGGUAGCGCAGCUAACGCGUGAAGUUGACCGCCUGGGGAGUACGGUCGCAAGAUUAAAACUCAAAGGAAUUGACGGGGACCCGCACAAGCGGUGGAUGAUGUGGAUUAAUUCGAUGCAACGCGAAAAACCUUACCUACCCUUGACAUGUCUGGAAUCCUGAAGAGAUUUGGGAGUGCUCGCAAGAGAACCGGAACACAGGUGCUGCAUGGCUGUCGUCAGCUCGUGUCGUGAGAUGUUGGGUUAAGUCCCGCAACGAGCGCAACCCUUGUCAUUAGUUGCUACGAAAGGGCACUCUAAUGAGACUGCCGGUGACAAACCGGAGGAAGGUGGGGAUGACGUCAAGUCCUCAUGGCCCUUAUGGGUAGGGCUUCACACGUCAUACAAUGGUCGGGACAGAGGGUCGCCAAGCCGCGAGGUGGAGCCAAUCCCAGAAACCCGAUCGUAGUCCGGAUCGCAGUCUGCAACUCGA
rnacentral:rRNA from 1 species